rnacentral:SRP_RNA from 1 species
CGCUGUAAUGGCUUGUGUCGGAAAUGUUCGAGACUUUUGCAGUCCCCGUUCGCUAUUGUUUACAGAACGAGGUGUCCGGUUCGAUUCCUGCGGUGGACAGUUCCAUGACCAUGAGUAAUCUGGUGCGUGGCUGUCGGCAAAGAACAGUGAUUCCACUGAAGGGUAGAAAUACAGCACAGUACACUGUCCGUGGCGAAGGCGAAUCCGGAUAGCACCUCCCUGGUUUCCUUAUGGAUGAAGCAAUGGUGGCGAAGGACUAGUUGGAUGUGACCGAUAAAUAUU